rnacentral:lncRNA from 10 species
GCAAUGCUGAACGUGUACAAGGGUACCAUAAUUUCAGCCUGUAUUGUGUCAAGGGGAAGAGAAGACGUGUCCGCAGAGAGAAGGAAUGAAAAAUACAAACAUAUUUGAAAUUAUCUCUGCAUUUUCAAACCAGAAACAGCAUCUAUAUUUCCCAGCAACUCAAGAAAUACGAGUGCUUAUUGUCACUUUGAUCUCAGCUUUCAAGACACACAACUUCUUCUCUAACAGAAACAUAAAUGGCUGAUCAAAGUGUGCUUGCAGAGGCCAAGUUCAGGCACAGUGCUAUUAUGAGGAGGGCAACAGGGUAAAAUGUAAACUUUGGAUUUAACUCUAAAUCUUGGCUCAUGUACUUGUACAUUAUGUAUCCUUGGAUAAAGUUUUAGACCUCUCUCUUCCUAGUUCUCUGCCUAUAAAUAGGGGUAAUAACAGUAUCUGCUUCAAAAUGAUGUUGUAAGGAGUGAGUAAUAUCUGUGGAGUGCUUAGAAGAGAGCCAAGGGCAUAGUGAGCCCUUAAUAAAUGUUAGUUAUUAUUAUCACCAGAACAUGUAAGAGGUUGUUCCUCCUUAUACAGGCAGAGUUGCAGAAGAAAAAUUUUAAUAGCAGAGUUACUAGCGUUGAUCACUAUUAAUGUUUCUAUGUAGAUCACAUGAAAACACUUUAGAAUUUAUUCACAAAAUAAUUAUAUCUAGUCCUUUGCUUUACUGUUAUCAUUGGGAAUAUAUGGUUCUGUGAAUGAGAUAACAUGGCAAUUGGUAACAAGUGUUCUGGAAUUGUGACUAAAAUUGUUACUGAAAUUGUGGACGUUUUGCACUUUAUUUGCCUUUAUCAGUCAAGAAAUAAAUGACUCUUGCUUUGGAGAUUACAGUUUAUGUUGCUAAAUGUAAUGUAUUGAACAAUCAUAGAAAAUCUUCCAUAUAGGGG